AGAAACUGUUAGAAGAGCCAGUGGUAAGCCUGGACUAUAUUUAACUACAGAUCUUCUGCCUGCCAAAGAAAUUUGCUCUCUCAGAGAUCUGGAAGCUAGAAGUCUGAAACCAAGGGGCAGGACCAUAGUCCAUCUGAAGUCUCCAGGGAAGGAUGUGUUCCAUGCCUUUCUCCUAGCUUCUCGUGGCUGCUGAGAAGAAGCCUUUGUGGAUACACUGGGUCAAGAAUGCCUUUUCUCUCCCACUCCAUAUGGAAGAAGGCCCCCAGGGAGGGCUGGGUUCCUGCGGAAAGCUUCACAGUAGGAGGGAAGAAGG